GUUCUUAUGGAUCUCGUAAUUGGAAUGAGUACAAUUUAAAUCUCUUAACGAGGAACAAUUGGAGGGCAAGUCUGGUGCCAGCAGCCGCGGUAAUUCCAGCUCCAAUAGCGUAUAUUAAAGUUGUUGCAGUUAAAAAGCUCGUAGUUGAAUUUCGGGAUCAAUUUAUCGGUCGUGCCAAUGGUAUGAACUGGUACAAUUGGUUUCUCCCUUCUGACGAAGCAUGAUGUCAUUAAUUUGGUGUCGUGGGGAAUCAGGACUGUUACUUUGAAAAAAUUAGAGUGUUUAAAGCAAGCAUUAGCUUGAAUACAUUAGCAUGGAAUAAUGAAAUAGGACGUUUGAUCCUAUUUCGUUGGUUUCUAGGAUCGACGUAAUGAUUAAUAGGGAUAGUUGGGGGCAUUAGUAUUCAAUUGUCAGAGGUGAAAUUCUUGGAUUUAUUGAAGACUAACUACUGCGAAAGCAUUUGCCAAGGAUGUUUUCAUUAAUCAAGAACGAAAGUUAGGGGAUCGAAGACGAUCAGAUACCGUCGUAGUCUUAACCAUAAACUAUGCCGACUAGGGAUCGGAUGAUGUUAAUUUUUUAAUGACUCAUUCGGCGCCUUACGGGAAACCAAAGUGUUUGGGUUCCGGGGGGAGUAUGGUCGCAAGGCUAAAACUUAAAGGAAUUGACGGAAGGGCACCACCAGGGGUGGAGCCUGCGGCUUAAUUUGACCCAACACGGGGAAACUCACCAGGUCCAGACAUAGUAAGGAUUGACAGAUUGAGAGCUCUUUCUUGAUUCUAUGGGUGGUGGUGCAUGGCCGUUCUUAGUUGGUGGAGUGAUUUGUCUGGUUAAUUCCGAUAACGAACGAGACCUUAACCUGCUAAUAGCUAGGCUUAGCAUUGCUAGGUCGUCAGCUUCUUAGAGGGACUAUCGGUGUUUAACCGAUGGAAGUUUGAGGCAAUAACAGGUCUGUGAUGCCCUUAGAUGUUCUGGGCCGCUCGCGCGCUACACUGAUGAAGUCAACGAGUUCACUCCCUUUGUCGGAAGACAUGGGUAAUCUUUUGAAACUUCAUCGUGCUGGGGAUAGAGCAUUGCAAUUAUUGCUCUUAAACGAGGAAUCCCUAGUAAGUACAAGUCAUCAGCUUGUGCUGAUUACGUCCCUGCCCUUUGUACACACCGCCCGUCGCUACUACCGAUUGAAUGGCUUAGUGAGGACUUCGGAUUGAGCUUCGGAAGCUGUAAAAGGCAUCCGAUUUUUAAAAAAGUUGUUCAAACUUGGUCAUUUAGAGGAAGUAAAAGUC
rnacentral:rRNA from 1 species